AACGAACGCUGGCGGCAUGCCUAACACAUGCAAGUCGAACGGGAUCCUAGCUUGCUAGGUGAGAGUGGCGGACGGGUGAGUAACACGUGGGAAUCUGCCUUUUGGUUCGGGAUAACCGCGGGAAACUGCGGCUAAUACCGAAUGCCCUCGAGAGAGGAAAGAUUUAUCGCCAGAAGAGGAGCCCGCGUCCGAUUAGGUAGUUGGUGGGGUAAAGGCCUACCAAGCCGACGAUCGGUAGCUGGUCUGAGAGGAUGAUCAGCCACACUGGGACUGAGAUACGGCCCAGACUCCUACGGGAGGCAGCAGUGGGGAAUAUUGGACAAUGGGGGCAACCCUGAUCCAGCAAUGCCGCGUGAGUGAUGAAGGCCUUAGGGUUGUAAAGCUCUUUUGCCAGGGAAGAUGAUGACUGUACCGGGAGAAUAAGCUCCGGCUAACUUCGUGCCAGCAGCCGCGGUAAU
rnacentral:rRNA from 1 species